rnacentral:rRNA from 1 species
ACAGCAGUCGCCGCGGGAAUACAGAGGGUGCAAGCGUUAAUCGGAAUUACUGGGCGUAAAGCGCACGCAGGCGGUCUGUCAAGUCAGAUGUGAAAUCCCCGGGCUUAACCUGGGAACUGCAUUUGAAACUGGCAGGCUAGAGUCUUGUAGAGGGGGGUAGAAUUCCAGGUGUAGCGGUGAAAUGCGUAGAGAUCUGGAGGAAUACCGGUGGCGAAGGCGGCCCCCUGGACAAAGACUGACGCUCAGGUGCGAAAGCGUGGGGAGCAAACAGGAUUAGAUACCCGAGUAGUCCCUGUCUCUUAUAA